GAACCAAGUCCUGAACACAGUCCAGAAAUCCAACAAAGGAGAGUAUUCAAUCUUACCGUCAUAGGAGAGGAGAGUAGGCUAGAGGUGUCCCCCUCCUUGAUGGAGUCUCCUCCAGAGGAGUCUAUUGUUGAGGAGUUAAUGCCGCUUGCUGAGGAGUCCUCUCAUUUGAUGGAUUCCCCCCGAAAUGAAGCCACUCUCACGAUAGAGGAGUCCCGCCCAUUUAUUGAUGGUCUAGAGCCCGCCCCGAGCUCUUCAGCUGAUAUAUGUAUGAGUCCAUUUGGAGGUGCUAUCCUAAAUGAUAGAAAUAGUUCAAUUGAAGAUAGUCCUGGACUAGAUCGAUCAAUACAACGAAGAGUUAGAUCAACUGGGAGGCGGCUUUCCAGGCAUAGGUUGUUGGGGACUAUUUCAGGAUUGGGAAGGUCGGAGAUAUCAGAUGCAUCUCCAGCUCUAUCGGAGAUAUCUCCGAAUUUGUCGGAAGUAUCUUCAAGCGUCUCAAGAACGCCUGCCUCCAGUAAACCCACUAACUCACUUUCUUUAGUUACUUCUUCUUCUCUAAGGUGUUCCCCUCAAGUUGAUCUGCUUCGUACAACCAGAUAUCCUACAGUUCAGCUGAGCAAUCUAAACCAGUCCACGUCUUCAUACCUGUGUUUAGUUGAGACUCCGUUAUCUGCAUCUCCAGUUCCGGUAUACCGGUCUCCGAAUCCGGAUUUUAUCCCGGAAGAAUUCCCGGAGAACCCUAGCGAUUCCUUCUUUGAGCGGCUUGGAUGUGAUAUGGACGGUCCAAGCUGGUUGUUUGGUUCGGUAAAGAAGAACAAGAAAAGGAAGAGUGCAGCGAAAAGGCUCUCCACGCUUUUAAGUGACGAACCCUCUGAGAGUGUUUUGAGCUCGUUGGACUGCUCUGACCUUACUAGUGAGAGCUUGGAGGCUAGUGGGUUUGUUCAGUCUGGAGAAAUCGGAACCAGUAAUCUAGAUCUAGGUUCAAGUAGGAUACUGGAUAGAACCAGUAAUCCAGGUUCAAGUAGCUUACUGGAUAGAACCAGUAAUCCAGGUUCAAGUAGGAUACUAGAUAAAACCAGUUCUCUAGAUCCAGGUUCAAGUAGGAUACUGGAUAGAACCAGUAGUCCAGGUUCCAAUAAGAUACUAGAUGGAACCAGUUAUCCCGGAACUAGUAUGCUACUGGAUAGAUCCGUAGAUGAAGAUGAAGAUGAAGAUCUAGGUCCCAGUUCUCAGUUAGCUACUGGAGAACUAGAGACUAGUUCCUGUCUUCUCCCUGUACUUGAGACCAGUGAACCAAGGAUCGAAACCAGUGGUUUCCUUGCUAAGCUCAGCCUUACUUCAGCCUCACAACCUCUCAGGAUUAAUGAGAAUGAACCUUACCCUACUUCUGUAUCCGUCCUGUCGGAGAAGGAUUCCGACGAAGAGAACCGUCCGCGAAGUGGAGAAGAGAGAUAUUUAAACCUUGGGAAGAAACCACUCCGUCUCUCCAACUGUUAUAUUAGUCUAACCAGUGAACUGCAGAAAAGAGGAUCAACUAGAGUUUCAGUCCCUAAAUCUACAAAUCCGUUGAACCAUUCCCAAUCCAAAUAUUUGGAUUCGGGAUCCGUUCCCUCAUCCCCCAAUAGUUUAAUUGAGCUCACCAAUACCAUCCGACGAUCUGAUCGAUCUUGCGAGGUAAAACUACAAAAUAUCUCCAAAAGGUUGAGUGAUCUGCAGCCAGCCCGGAAGCUAAACCAAGAUACUUCUCUGUUCGAGACCGUUGGUGCCUCUUUAGACCCCGUGAAGAAAAAACCAAGCAGGCCUAAAAAAAUCAAAUCUAAAAUAGAUAUCCCUGAUGAACCAGAACAAUUCCAGGACGAACCAGCUCCAGGUCCUAGUUCAAGUACAAACGUAGAUUCACCUGAACUGGAGCUAGAUCUGGAACCACAGAACGGAGGAAAGAGAAAAAGACGGAUUGGGAAAUCAAAACAGGUUUCUGAACCUCCUGUUGGAAAGAGGAAAAGGAUUGACGAUGAAUCCACUGUAUCGCCAGAAAUCAUCAUAGGAGUCAAGAAAAAAGCCAGGUCUACAUUUACCAAAGGUGCCAAGUGUUACACUGAAAAAGUAUCUGUUGGUGCUGCUAAUGAAAAGUAUGAUGACGAAGAAAAGAAUAUGGACGAAGGAAAUGCAUGUGAGAAACCUGAGGUUCAAGAUGCUAAAGGAAGGAAGGAAAUCAAGAAAAACUCCAGGUCUACUCUGACGAAAGGUAAAAAAAGUGAGGUGUCUGAUAUAAUUCUUCUUGAGCCCGAAGUAGUUGAAGGAGCACGUGAAGUUGAGGAAGGGAGGAAGGACGGGAAGGAACCCGAGGAGGAAGGAGGAAGAAGAGGGAGGAGAGCUGCCUCACAAAUAUCAUUUAAAGAACCUUCUCUUAGGGAUAAAAUGAGACAGGGUGACGCUGGUUCCAGUAGUGUUUAUAACGAUUUUAAACCCAAAACAAAAGGAAAACAGAAUAAGAAAUAAAAUUUCUUGACAUUACUUUUUCAAUUAAUAAGUUAUGAACUAAAUAUGUGAACUGAAACGAUAAUGUUCAUUACAAAAUAGAUGUUGAUUGUAACAUAAAGCAAAAUUGUUAGUUAAAUUUCAGGUCGUUGACUUUAAUGUAUAAUUUUCAGACAAAAUGCAGCUUUUACGUUCAAGUAUAAGAUUACAGUCUAAUUUGCACAAAUGUUCAUCUGUUACUAGAAUCUCUUUGUCUACUAAUUCAGUUUUAAGGGCUAGAGAAGAAGCGAAGGAUACAGGACCAGUAGUGUUCACAAAAAGUCCAGCUUACAGGGGGGAUAGUGUUAUAAAAAUGAGUCAAACAUUUGAUAUUCCUGGAUACCAGUUCCCAGUUAUCACAAUCAGUAUGUUCUCCUUAAUGAUAUAUUUCUUCUGUCUACGGGAGGAGAGUGAUA
rnacentral:misc_RNA from 1 species